AUCAGCUUCGUGUUAUAGUUCCUUUACCUCUUCUUGGUUUGAGAAAGUGCUUUCCACAUGGUGUCAUUAAGGCUCUCACCGCCGUUUUUCUCCAAUCAAAACCUUACAGACCACAUGAGAUUACUUCUUGGUUUUUCCUUGAAAUUGAUCUGAAUCGGUGUUGGCCCUGCUUUGGUUGCAGACUUACCUCCCUCAUCGACUCUACACAAGUGGUUUCUUGUUUGUGUCCUAAUAUGUGCAACCAUCUUCAAUUAAAGAAGAAAACCCUCAAUCAGGUUCUAAGAUAAUGAAAUCUGAUGAAGAACUAGCUCGAAUGUUUCGGUUAUGGAAAGAAAACCAUUCAUCAACCUCAAUUUAGUCAGCAGAUUAUUAAAAUUUUCUGAAACCGUUUAUCCAUCUGUUCUUUUUGAUUUUUGUUAAAUUUUUUAAAGAUUUAUAUAAAUUUUCGACUGUUUCAUUUUAGGGAUCAUUUUCAAUUUGUUGGAGUUUUAGUAUUGUUAUAAAAAACAAUAACUUCGAGUCCCCGUUUAUGGUUUGAUUUCAAGAACGACAGGAUGAGUUGGAAGAGAAAAACAAGUUCAUGUUGCUUCAUGAUUUUUAUAGUCAGAGGGAACCAUAAAGGGUAACAGAUGUUAUUUAUAGUUUUCCACUUGCAACCAAGGUCAAACAUGUAAAUAAACGUAGCAGAAGGAAGAAGGGGAGUUGUAUAGUACCUAUUUGCAGAAGGGAUUACACGUGUACGUUGAAAAGGAAGAGACCUGGUGCAAUUUUUUCCUUUUGUGACGAUCAAAAUCUAAUGUUUUGUAUAUUUAGUUUGAUAAAUUGCAGAUUACAGAGACGAAGAGAGAAGAACAGUUGUUGCUGAAGUUAUUUUGCUUUAUAUGAAACUGAUAUGUGGGGGAAAUAGUACAUCAAAGUCUAUGAAGGAAAAAUGAGUGAAGGAAUGAUGUUCGGUCCAAGCUCUAAUGUCAUGCAAUGCAAGUUAGAUUAACAUUCCUACUGAAUGGAUUGAACAAUUUGAUUCAUGGAUUCAGGUGAGCUUUCGAUGAUUUUUUGGGUAUUCAUAUGAUUGUAUGUGUUUUAAAGUAAAUAAAAUUCGGUCGGGUUUUCCUGGGUUUGCUAAAAAUGGUAAUUGUUUCCAAAAUUGUCUAAUUUUUUUGGGUUUGGUUUCAUGUAUUUCUUUGUGCUU